rnacentral:rRNA from 1 species
GAUGAACGCUGGCGGCGUGCCUAAUACAUGCAAGUCGAGGGAACAGAUGAGGAGCUUGCUCCUCUGACGUUAGCGGCGGACGGGGGAGUAACACGUGGAUAACCUACCUAUAAGACUGGGAUAACUUCGGGAAACCGGAGCUAAUACCGGAUAAUAUAUUGAACCGCAUGGUUCAAUAGUGAAAGACGGUUUUGCUGUAACUUAUAGAUGGAUCCGCGCCGCAUUAGCUAGUUGGUAAGGUAACGGCUUACCAAGGCAACGAUGCGUAGCCGACCUGAGAGGGUGAUCGGCCACACUGGAACUGAGACACGGUCCAGACUCCUACGGGAGGCAGCAGUAGGGAAUCUUCCGCAAUGGGCGAAAGCCUGACGGAGCAACGCCGCGUGAGUGAUGAAGGUCUUCGGAUCGUAAAACUCUGUUAUUAGGGAAGAACAAAUGUGUAAGUAACUAUGCACGUCUUGACGGUACCUAAUCAGAAAGCCACGGCUAACUACGUG